rnacentral:snRNA from 1 species
GUGGUUACUUUGGCAGCACAUACACUAACAUUGGCGUGAUACAGAGAAGAUUAGCAUGGCUAAUGUACAAGGAUGAAACAAAAAUUUGUAAAGCAUUCCAUAUUUAA